ensembl:lncRNA
CUCUGAGAUAAGUUCCAUAAAUUUUUAUGAAAAUUGGACAUUGAGUAAUGGAGAAGGAUGUGAUUAGCAUUUUCAGUUACAGAAAGGCAUACGGAGCUGGGGAUAUUGAGGUCAGGUAGAAGGAAUAGGGGAAGGUCUAGAAGAAGCCAGGAGGAAAGAGUUGUCAGACAGGGAGAGGCAGGGAGGUGGAUCCUUACAUCAGCAGGGCAAGAGAAGGACUGUGUGUAUGCUGGAAACAAAUUCACAGGAAAGCAGGCUUCAUGAGUCCACUGGCUUAUGGAUCCUACCAGAACUCUGCAAAACCUAUUUGCUAAAAUUACGCCAAGAGAAAUCACUCAUGAGCCUCGCCAGCCUGCACGCCUCCCAAGCUGCUCUCCCUCCUGCUGCCUCUGCUCAUGCCAGGUGACAGCCCAGCUCAGGAAGAAGCUUCAUUCUUCCAACCCUUUCUCAGAAGAACUCCUGCCCACACCAGAGAAAACCUGGUUUCAGACCCUGGUAUCCUCAGGGUGGUUGUUCUCCUGUGAGGAACAGCUGGAUGUGACAACGCAGAUGCUGGAAGCUUCCUGAGUGGUGCACCUGGAGACCAGCUGACAACAUGAAAAAGAUCCUUAGAUCUGGCUUGCCAGAAAAGGAGGCAGAAAUCAGCAACCUGAAUUAUGUGGGCUGCUCCGAAAGUAAUGCUUCCUAUUUAUUUCUAUGGAGACUACAACAGGCCAACCCAAGGCGAAAAUACUACUUGGAGCAAAUGAAAACCGACGGGAGAAAUUGCAAUGAAAAAUUUUCAUUCAAGAUUUCUCUUGGGAUCCGUUCCUUUCUAGGGUGGCAACGCACACACACAGCUCCCUUCUCCUUGCAGCUUUGUUUAGCAUCUGUGGGAGCCUCUCAUCGGGAGCUUCAUAUGCGCGCUCAUGAGCACUCGGUGUUUGUGCUCUGUGUGUGCAAGCACCAACCACACGCUGGCGGGCAGCAGGCAUACACAUGUGGUCUAUGUUAAGAAAUGCAAGAAAUAAAGCCAAUUUUAGAUCAAGUGAGCUGUGGUCCCCUGGCUUGGCUUCUACCGCAGGUGAUACUAUAAACAAAGUUCUGUGCCAAUGUGAAAGAACAAAUACACUAUAAAUAGCUCGUGGCUUCCAAACCUCCUCGUCUUGUUCCAGCCCUCGUUCGAACCCAAGCCAGCAGAUGGGCUGAGAGCACUUCAAACUGGCUCCUUGAAAUAAAAUACUGGAAAUAAAGAGGAACAGCAUGGAGGCAGUAAAACAAAAUGGGAAAAGAAGGAGAGGGUGAAAGGCAUUAAUUUAUUGGGGAGAGUGCUGGAAACAUAUAAAAGCAGGAGAGGAAGGAAGAAAGGGGACAUCGUCCUGCCUGAUCACAAUUGUCAUUAACUUGCGGCAGAGGUAUUAAAUUGCAGCAUGGGUGCAAGUUCAUGCAGCCCACCUCCAACCCAAACCUCUUUGGCGUCCGACUCUUCCCUGUGUCGAGUGAUUUAAUGCACUGGCCCACAUGGUAUAUUUACUGCCUCUUGCGCUGUUUAAUUGAGCCCAGGGGCCUUCACACCCACAUGGUUCAGCAGCGAAGCAUUUGCUAUCUGCAUUGGGCAGUGCACCAGAGGCACGGGGAGGGAAGGGAUUGGCCAUUAAGACCCAAAAAGCAACAGUUGAGCUCUGUGCGGCAGGACGUGGUGUGCUGUAAGCUCUGAUUAGUUUUAGGGAGCAGGAGGCUGUGCGGACAUCUGGAGGGAGUUUGCGAGGAGCCAAGACAACGUGGUGCUGGUGCAGCAGGCUUUGCCUCUAAUGGGUGUUCGCGCACACAUGGAGGUGUUAGAAGAACUUGAGAAAAUCCCCAAGUUCUCCAGCGGAGAUUAAGUGCCCUAAACACAGUUAAGCAGGC